CAGUCGCCACGGUAAUACGUAGGUGGCGAGCGUUGUCCGGAUUUAUUGGGCGUAAAGGGAGUGUAGGCGGUCUUUUAAGUCUGAUGUGAAAGCCCACGGCUCAACCGUGGAGGGUCAUUGGAAACUGGGAGACUUGAGUGCAGAAGAGGAGAGCGGAAUUCCAUGUGCAGCGGUGAAAUGCGUAGAUAUAUGGAGGAACACCGGUGGCGAAAGCGGCUCUCUGGCUUGUAACUGACGCUGAGGCUCGAAAGCGUGGGGCGCAAACAGGAUUAGAGACCCCAGUAGUCCCUGUCUCUUAUAC
rnacentral:rRNA from 1 species